GACGAACGCUGGCGGCGUGCUUAACACAUGCAAGUCGAACGGAAAGGCCCUGUUGGUGUGGCGUGCUCGAGUGGCGAACGGGUGAGUAACACGUAAGUAACCCGCCCCUGACUUUGGGAUAACUUCAACAAACUGUGGUUACUACCGGAUAUGAGCUCCUCCUGCAUGGUGGGGGUUGGCUUGGUUCGGCGGUUGGGGAUGGACUCGCGGCUUGUCAGCUUGUUGGGGGGGUAGUGGCUUACCAAGGCUUUGACGGGUAGCCGGCCUGAGAGGGGGACCGGCCACAUGGGGACUGAGAUACGGCCCGGACCCCUAGGGGAGGAAGCAGGGGGGAUUUUGGCAAAAUGGGGGGAAGCCGAAUGCAGCAACGCGGCGUGCGGGAUGCCGGCCUUCGGUUGUUAACCCGUUUUCGCAGGUGACGAGGCGUGGGUGACGGUAAUGGCUGAAGAAGCACCGGCUAACUACGUG
rnacentral:rRNA from 1 species